rnacentral:tRNA from 1 species
GGCAGAGUGGCCGAGUGGUCUAAGGCGGCGGAUUCAAGCGGACCUUUGAUAGGCGCUUGGAAUUACACCAGUAGUUUCCCGCUCACGAAAGUGGCAGGGGUUCGAAUCCCCUCUCUGUCA